rnacentral:rRNA from 1 species
CAUGCUUUUACAGUAUGAAAAUUGGUGAUUUAUAAUAACUUACCAAAACACAAAGUGAAAACAGGCGAUAAAUCAUUCAAGUUUCUGACCUAUCAGCUUUCGACGGUAUGGUAUUGGCUUACCGUGGCAGUGACGGUUAACGGGGGAUUAGGGUUCGAUUCCGGAGAGGGAGCCUGAGAAACGGCUACCACAUCUAAGGAAGGCAGCAGGCGCGCAAAUUACCCAAUUCUAACAGUUUGAGAGAGGUAGUAACAAGAAAUAACAAUACAAGGCAGUUAAAAUGCUUUGUAAUUGGAAUGAUAGAAAUUUAAACCCUUUUUAAAGUAUCAAUUGGAGGGCAAGUCUGGUGCCAGCAGCCGCGGUAAUUCCAGCUCCAAUAGCGUAUAUUAAAAUUGUUGCAGUUAAAAAGCUCGUAGUUGAAGUUCUGCUAAAAGUAACCGGUCUGCUUUGAAUAAAAGUGGUAUCUUGGUAUGUAUUUAGCAAUGAUGUCCUUUGAAGUGUUUUUUACUUUAUUGUAAUAAAGCAUAUUCAGGACUUUUACUUUGAGAAAAUUAGAGUGUUUCUAGCAGGCCAACGCUUUGAAUACUGCAGCAUGGAAUAAUAA